GAGUUUGAUCGUGGCUCAGAUUGAACGCUGGCGGCAUGCUUUACACAUGCAAGUCGAACGGCAGCGCGGGGCAACCUGGCGGCGAGUGGCGAACGGGUGAGUAAUAUAUCGGAACGUACCCAAGAGUGGGGGAUAACGUAGCGAAAGUUACGCUAAUACCGCAUACGAUCUAAGGAUGAAAGUGGGGGAUCGCAAGACCUCAUGCUCCUGGAGCGGCCGAUAUCUGAUUAGCUAGUUGGUGAGGUAAAGGCUCACCAAGGCGACGAUCAGUAGCUGGUCUGAGAGGACGACCAGCCACACUGGAACUGAGACACGGUCCAGACUCCUACGGGAGGCAGCAGUGGGGAAUUUUGGACAAUGGGCGCAAGCCUGAUCCAGCAAUGCCGCGUGAGUGAAGAAGGCC
rnacentral:rRNA from 1 species